AGAGUUUGAUCCUGGCUCAGAUUGAACGCUGGCGGCGUGCCUAACACAUGCAAGUCGAGCGGUAACAGGUGUAGCAAUACAUGCUGACGAGCGGCGAACGGGUGAGUAAUGCUUUGGAAUCUUCCCAGUAGUGGGGAAUAACCAGUCGAAAGAUUGGCUAAUACCGCAUACGUCUGUAAAGGGAAAGCGGGGGCUCGUAAGACCUCGCGCUAUUGGAUGAGCCAAAGUCGGAUUAGCUAGUUGGUGGGGUAAUGGCCUACCAAGGCGACAAUCCGUAGCUGGUCUGAGAGGACGACCAGCCACACCGGAACUGAGACACGGUCCGGACUCCUACGGGAGGCAGCAGUGGGGAAUAUUGGACAAUGGGGGAAACCCUGAUCCAGCGACGCCGCGUGUGUGAAGAAGGCCUGCGGGUUGUAAAGCACUUUUAGUGGGGACAAAAAGCUACGGACUAAUACUCUGUGGUCUUGAUUUAACCCAAAGAAAAAGCACCGGCUAACUCUGUGCCAGCAGCCGCGGUAAUACAGAGGGUGCGAGCGUUAAUCGGAAUUACUGGGCGUAAAGCGCGCGUAGACGGUUUUGUAAGUCAGAUGUGAAAUCCCUGGGCUCAACCUGGGAACUGCAUUUGAUACUGCAUGGCUAGAGUAUCGAAGAGGGAAGUGGAAUUUCCGGUGUAGCGGUGAAAUGCGUAGAUAUCGGAAGGAACACCAGUGGCGAAAGCGACUUCCUGGUCGAAUACUGACGUUCAUGUGCGAAAGCGUGGGGAGCAAACAGGAUUAGAUACCCUAGUAGUCC
rnacentral:rRNA from 1 species